rnacentral:rRNA from 1 species
UACGUAGGUCCCGAGCGUUGUCCGGAUUUAUUGGGCGUAAAGCGAGCGCAGGCGGUUUAAUAAGUCUGAAGUUAAAGGCAGUGGCUUAACCAUUGUUCGCUUUGGAAACUGUUAGACUUGAGUGCAGAAGGGGAGAGUGGAAUUCCAUGUGUAGCGGUGAAAUGCGUAGAUAUAUGGAGGAACACCGGUGGCGAAAGCGGCUCUCUGGUCUGUAACUGACGCUGAGGCUCGAAAGCGUGGGGAGCAAACAGGAUUAGAUACCCCCGUAGUCCCU